AGCGAGCACUACGGGUGAAUACACGCGGUGGCCAACAGUACCCUUUACUACGGAAUAACGCAGGGAAACUUGUGCUAAUACCGUAUGUGCCCUUUGGGGGAAAGAUUUAUCGGUAAAGGAUCGGCCCGCGUUGGAUUAGCUAGUUGGUGGGGUAAAGGCCUACCAAGGCGACGAUCCAUAGCUGGUCUGAGAGGAUGAUCAGCCACAUUGGGACUGAGACACGGCCCAAACUCCUACGGGAGGCAGCAGUGGGGAAUAUUGGACAAUGGGCGCAAGCCUGAUCCAGCCAUGCCGCGUGAGUGAUGAAGGCCCUAGGGUUGUAAAGCUCUUUCACCGGAGAAGAUAAUGACGGUAUCCGGAGAAGAAGCCCCGGCUAACUUCGUGCCAGCAGCCGCGGUAAUACGAAGGGGGCUAGCGUUGUUCGGAAUUACUGGGCGUAAAGCGCACGUAGGCGGAUCGAUCAGUCAGGGGUGAAAUCCCAGGGCUCAACCCUGGAACUGCCUUUGAUACUGUC
rnacentral:rRNA from 1 species